GACAGAGGGUGCAAACGUUGUUCGGAAUUACUGGGCGUAAAGCGCGCGUAGGCGGCAGCGUGUGUCGGGCGUGAAAUCCCACGGCUCAACCGUGGAAGUGCACUCGAAACUGCGCAGCUAGAGUCUCGGAGAGGAAGGCGGAAUGCUUGGUGUAGAGGUGAAAUUCGUAGAUAUCAAGCGGAACACCGGUGGCGAAGGCGGCCUUCUGGACGAUGACUGACGCUGAAGCGCGAAAGCGUGGGGAGCAAACAGG
rnacentral:rRNA from 1 species